UACGGGGGGGGCAAGCGUUGUUCGGAAUUACUGGGCGUAAAGGGCUCGUAGGCGGCCAACUAAGUCAGACGUGAAAUCCCCAGGCUCAACCUGGGAACUGCGUCUGAUACUGGUUGGCUUGAAUCCGGGAGAGGGAUGCAGAAUUCCAGGUGUAGCGGUGAAAUGCGUAGAUAUCUGGAGGAACAUCAGUGGCGAAGGCGACCCUCUGGACCAGCACUGACGCUGAGGCACGAAAGCGUGGGGAGCAAACAGG
rnacentral:rRNA from 1 species